AACCAGCGGUACGCGAAACUUGUCGAGCUGGUCCGGAGCUAUCGCCUCGCCGAUGGCAUACUGGUGAACACGUUCCACGAGAUGGAACCUGGCACCGCGGAAGCGUUCAAGCGGCUGGAGCAAGCUGCGGGCGCGUUCUUCUUCCCGCCGGUGUUCCCGGUGGGGCCAUUCGUCCAGCGGCCAGACCCCGACGAAGCCGCCGCGGGCGCGUCGUCGCCAUACUUGGAGUGGCUUGAUCGUCAGCCGGUCGGUUCCGUGGUGUACGUCGCCUUCGGGAGCGGCGGGGUACUUUCUGUGGAGCAGACGGCCGAGCUCGCGGCCGGGCUGGAGGCGAGCGGCCAAAGGUUUCUUUGGGUCGUGCGGAUGCCAAGCACCGACGGCGGCGGCGACGACGAGGACGACCCAUUGGCGUGGCUCCCCGUGGGCUUCUUGGAGAGAACCAGGGGCAGGGGCGCCGUCGCGGCGUGGGCGCCUCAGGUGCGCGUGCUGUCCCACCGUGCGACCGCCGUCUUCGUGUCACACUGCGGAUGGAACUCGACGCUGGAGAGCGUGGGGUGCGGUGUGCCGAUGCUCGCGUGGCCGCUGUACGCGGAGCAGGGAAUGAACGCCGUUAUCCUGGAAGAGAAGCUCGGGGUGGCGCUGCGGGUGCCGGCGGCACGAGAGGACGAUCGAUGCUUGGUGACGCGCCAGGAGAUCGCCACCGCCGUGAAGGAACUCGUGGAGGAGGGCCAAAAGUUGCGGCGCCGGGCCGAGAGCCUGCAGAAAGCGGCAGCGCGUGCGUGGUCACCGGAGGGGCCGUCGCGCCGGGCGCUUGAGGAGGUCGCCGUCAAGUUGAAGGCGGCGCUUGGCCGAGAGAAGUAA
rnacentral:rRNA from 1 species